rnacentral:rRNA from 1 species
CUGGCGGUAUGCUUAACACAUGCAAGUCGAACGAGACGAGAUGGAAGGAUCCUUCGGGUGACGGAAAUCUUAGAAAGUGGCGAACGGGUGAGUAACGCGUGGGUAACCUGCCCUAUGGAAAGGAAUAGCCUCGGGAAACUGGGAGUAAUGCCUUAUAAUACAUUGAAGUCGCAUGGCUUUGAUGUUAAACGCUCCGGUGCCAUAGGAUGGACCCGCGUCCCAUUAGCUAGUUGGUGAGAUAACAGCCCACCAAGGCGGCGAUGGGUAACCGGUCUGAGAGGGCGAACGGUCACACUGGAACUGAGACACGGUCCAGACUCCUACGGGAGGCAGCAGUGGGGAAUAUUGCGCAAAUGGGGGCAACCCUGACGCAGCAAUACCGCGUGAGUGAAGAAGGUUUUCGGAUCGUAAAGCUCUGUUAUUGGGGAAGAAAAAAGACGGUACCCAAGAAGAAAGUCCCGGCUAACUACGUGCCAGCCGCCGC